UUAUUUACUCUCUGUUUUUUUUUUUAUUGGUUCCUUACGGUGCUUUCUUCUUCUUCGUCUUGCAGGUGUUUUGGAAGCUAAUUAUAUACUCUUCUCCUGGCUACGUCUUCAAGCUUUCUCACGGGUUUUGUUAACAUGUGAUCAUUUUUUUUUGGUUUUAUAGUUGUUUCACUUCACUCUAUCGUUUUGGUAUCAAUAAUACUCAGGUGUGGUUGGAGGAGAGGUGUCUGAUCUACACUUUACUAAAUUAGGUGGCUGGAGAGGAAGACCCGAGGUGUUUCUUGGCGGUUUUGCUAACAGAGCAAACUAUAGAAGAGGUACAACAUAACAUCUUUGAAAGGAAAAGGGUGUGUGUUUACUUACGACGCUGUUGGA